rnacentral:lncRNA from 1 species
CUCCCUCCUGCCUGUGGCUGCAGCUCUCCCUUGAUGAAAGUUAAUCCUAGUUAACGCUUUUGGCGAGCAGGGAAGACUUCAUAGCAAGCUCUGUUCUUUGGGAACUGCAGCAGCUCUUUCCCGAUGGUAUUCCUAGGAUCACCUGCAGCACGUUAAAGAGACCACAUCUCAUACACAAAAUCUUGAAAGUCUUCAGGGGCUGCUUUCCAGGCAUGAAGAUGAAGAGUGAAUAGCUUCCAGGAAUUAGCGGAUUUUUCCUUCCAUCUCCCCUGACAAAUGCACCAGCCUCAUGAGAAACACAAACUGAUUUUUCUGAAGUUGUUGAAGCUGGUAUGAGCAGAGUGGAGGGCAAUUUUUUUAGCUCUGU